CUCGGAUGUCACGCUGGCCGAGGCCUCCGGCAUAACGUGGCUGAAGUCACCACCGCAUGAGCUCAGGCUGAGGCACCUGGGGAUAGGUUCUGAGAGCUCAGAAUAGAAACCCUGGGUGAAGACAGAGCGUCCAGCUGGGCCCAGCAAGGAGACCAACCCAACAGGUCUCUAAUACCCCAUGAUGGCCAUCAGGCACUUCUCAGCCACUCCUCUGAACCUCAACUGCCUCAUCUCUAAAGCGAAACCAGGAGCCCCACUGGCCCCCAAGAACAUUGCAGAGCCAAGUAUUACCACUGUCAAGGAACAGAAAAAAAGCAGGGUGGUGCUUCCCAUCGCGUCCUCUUUCUGCCCUCCUGUUCAGCCUUGCAGAAGAUGGGUGGAUCUUGGAGGAUGACAUUGGCAUCAGAGUGAUGGAAUCAAACUAAAGCCCCCCAGGUUAAAGUGGAUUCAAACCAAGUCCCCCAGACCAAAGAAGAAUAUUCAGAACAAGGAAGUAAGAAGUAAAAUAAUUCUAACUGCUGAGAAAGAGCUGACCUUUUCAUGCUCCAUACACAAGCCGGACAUCACCCAAAAC